rnacentral:lncRNA from 1 species
UGGAAGCUUGAAAGACAUUACUACUGCGUCAGAGGAAAGGGCAUUACGUUGAUGCAGAGAGAAUGGGGGCUAUUACAGAUUAAACUUUUAAGAAGUUUGGAGGUCAAGAGACAACUGAAAAGGCGGACCUUCAGUGUAACUUAGAAGAACCAUUUCUUUGACUUAUAUGCUAUAGAACUGGUCAAUAUUGCAUGAUGACUUCUCAAAAUUACCAUUGAUUUAGGUUUCCAGGAAAAAUCAAGCAUGCUUCAAGGAGAUUUUAGUAGCAAGAAAUCCGUAUUAUUUGACACCUGCUAUUAUUUCCUCAGCAUCCCAGAAUUUCUCAUUUAAGUACUGCCCAAUAUUAUUCUGGCUUUCUUUGCAUUUGUGAAUACAGAAACAAAAUGUUUUGUUGUAAUUUAUUGCAGAAUGGCAGUUUGGCCUUUGGGGAAUAUGAAUCAUGGGUCACUGUCAUAAAACAACUUAUGUUUGGAAACUUUUUUGAAUAAUAGUUGGUUUGGGACAAGUCUUUUUUUCCCCCUUACUAAGAAAUUAGGAGCUUUCUUAAUAAGAAAUAACAUUAGAGUUUUCAAUUUUAAAUUGUGUGAAUUUGUUUUAAUUGUAUGAAAAUGGAUACAAGAUAAUCAGUUGCUCAGACUAGAUACCAAAAGGAAUGGUUAUUAAGACAGUAGAAAAAUAUUUUUGAAGAACAUUCAUAGGAUAGCCAUCCUGCUCCCCCAAAUCAAACCUGAGGCAAUAGAAAACUAUGCUUUUAGAAUAAUAAAAAUAGCAGAAA